rnacentral:SRP_RNA from 1 species
GCUGAGCUCGUAGCAUGAGCUUGCAACCCAAGUGGGAGCAAUAAGAUGAUUGGGAUAAUCCAAAUGUUCAGCCCUUCAAACAAAUAGUGUGUUGGUUUGGAUUAUCUCACAUUACAUGAAAGAAGACCAGUUCGAGCACACUCCCAAGUCACCACUAGAGGUGUCAGAUUGUUAUUGGUUUGGACCAUCAUCUUU